GAUUUCUCCCCUCCGCCGUGGACAACACGUUUCUCGUCGGAAGCAGAAGACUCACCGUCGGCUUCAUCGCCGUCGUAGUUGGAACAAACGGAGAGUCUUGAUAAAGAAUAGUGUUGUUCUUCUUCUUCUCUUAAGAAAGACGCCAUUUUCAUAUCUUCAUCAAAAGCCAUAGUAAUAAACUCUAG